rnacentral:rRNA from 1 species
UGGGGAAUCUUGGACAAUGGGGGCAACCCUGAUCCAGCCAUGCCGCGUGGACGAUGAAGGCCCUAGGGUUGUAAAGUCCUUUCACCGGUGAAGAUAAUGACGGUAGCCGGAGAAGAAGCCCCGGCUAACUCCGUGCCAGCAGCCGCGGUAAUACGGAGGGGGCUAGCGUUGUUCGGAAUUACUGGGCGUAAAGCGCGCGUAGGCGGAUUGUUAAGUCGGGGGGUGAAAUCCCGGGGCUCAACCCCGGAACUGCCUUCGAUACUGGCAAUCUAGAGAUCUGGAGAGGCGAGUGGAAUUCCGAGUGUAGAGGUGAAAUUCGUAGAUAUUCGGAGGAACACCAGUGGCGAAGGCGGCUCGCUGGCCAGAUACUGACGCUGAGGUGCGAAAGCGUGGGGAAGCAAACAGGAUUAGAUAGCCCUGGUAGUCCACACCGUAAACGAUGAAUGCCAGUCGUCGGGUAGCAUGCUAUUCGGUGACACACCUAACGGAUUAAGCAUUCCGCCUGGGGAGUACGGUCGC